UCCGUCUCCACCGUUGGCCCUCCUCAUCCGGUGCAAAUAAUACAAAUAAGCCCCGGGGUCGACACCAAUUUUUUGGCAGCCCCUGGGUGCUUGGACGCAAUGCGCCAUGGGGGAUCCACCAUAAAAAAAAUAAUGCUAUAAAAAAUAGCGUUAUUACGUACAAAGUGAUCUUUUUGGAUAAAGAUGCCAAACGAGAGAAAGAAAAAAUAUUUACCAUGGAAGGUACGAUCCAAACAUAGAAUUAUUGCUACGAAACGAAUUAGAUUGACCGAACACAAGUUGCAAAAUCUAUAAUAUUCAAUAAUAAUACUAAUGGUAAUACAAGUCAAAGAAAUGGGAACAAUAUUAGUGAUAUUGACGAUGAGACAGAUAACUCUUUCAAGAGAUGUAUAAACUUUGAAACAGAAUAUAGCAAUUUGCUCGAUUUAAACCCUAAUUUUUGUUCAGAUUAUAGUCUUAGUUAUUCUGAUCAUUCUUCUAGUAGUAAUAAUAAUAUUGCUGUUCAACACAAUGAGUUUAUAGGUUGUGAAAGUAAUAACCAAAACGUUACAAAAAAUGUUGAGCAGUAUAAUGAACAAAGUGAUACAGGUGAAAUAUUAAACUUAAAUAAUAAACAAGAAAAAGAAAAUUAUUUAUUGCAUGGAUUAAGAGAAUGGUCUUUGCGUGGAGUGUCAAAGAAAAAAAUAAAUGAAUUAUUGGCUCUGUUAAUACCACUUUUCUCUUUUCUGCCAAAAAGUUACAAGACUCUAUUGCAUACUAUGAGGAAAGUUACUGUGAAUAGAUUAGAUAAUGGACUAUUUUGGUAUAAGGGAAUAAAAUUGAAUAUUCAACAAUUACUUUCUGAGGAAUAUGUCCAUAAAUAUGGUGAAAUAGUGAUAGAUGUGAAUAUGGAUGGUGUUCCUUUAAGUAAGAGUUCUGAAAUGCAUUUUUGGCCAAUCCUUGGUAAAUUUCGAAAUACAGAACACCCUUUCAUAAUUGCUGUUUAUGUGGGCUCUGGAAAGCCUAAUAAUGUUAAUACAUGGUUGGAACAGUUUGUUGCUGAAAUGGCAGAUCUACAAGAAACUGGAUUUCAGUGGAACAUAAUACUAUAUAAUUAUCAAUUUAGAAUUGAUAAUUUUGUGUUAGAUACUGAAGCCCGCUCGUUUGUAAAACAAUAUAUUGCGCAUGGUGGUUAUUAUGCAUGUGAAAAAUGUAUUGUGAAAGGGACAUAUUGUAGAAAUAGAAUGUGUUUUUUUAAACAAAAUUGUCCGCUUCGCACUGAUGAGUCAUUCCGUAAUAAAUCCUCGUCAUUAUAUCGGUAAUUCAAUAUUAGAAGAUAUUGGAAUUGACAUGAUUUCUCAAUUUCGUCUUGAUGCGCUUUAUCUUGUAUAUCUGGGUGUUGUGAAAAGAAUGCUCCACUUCUUAUCAGUGUCCGUUCUCGAUGUACAUUGCCAAAUGCAGUUGUACUUGAGAUCAAUAAUGUAUUGCAUAAUAUCACUGGUUUUUUCCCUAUAGAAUUUCAUCGUAAACCAAGAAGCUUAGGUACUCGUAAUAUAAGAGAAAAGUGGAAAGGUACCGAAUAUAGAAGAUUCGUAUUAUAUGAUUGUAUUUAUGUUUUAAAGAACCAUGUACCUAAUAAUAUCUACCAGUGCUUCCUUCUUGUCCAUUGUACGAUUUAUAUCUUAUGUAGAUAUGAUCUGUUUAAAAAAAUGAACGUUGCUAAUUACUUGUUGAGAGAAUUUGUAACUCAGUCAGUCCAUUCAUUUGGGCGUGAAUUUGUGGUGUAUAAUGUUCACUCACUAAUUCAUCUAACUGAAGAAUGUAACAACAGAGGUACAUUGGAUUCCUUUAGUGCAUUCCCUUAUGAAAAUUUUUUGGAUAUUAUGAAAAGUCACUUGCGUUCCAUUCAUCGACCAUUGCAACAAUUGGCUAAUAGAGAUAUGGAAUUGCAAGGUGCAUUUAUAAAGCCAUGCCCUCAUAAAGAUACAAACUUUAUAAAACUGAAAAAACCAGUUCAUAGUUAUCAUUUGGACAUUGAGGGUCAACAAUAUACAGUUGUCACCAAAGAUUUCACAUUACAAGCAAAAGAAGGAGAUCGUUAUUUCAAAUUAGUUAAUGGUGAAAUUGCACGUUUGUGCUGUGUAAUAAAUUCCCAUGGAAAUAUCAUUCUUGCAGGAACAAAAUUUACAUGUCUUGAAAAUUAUUAUACUUUUCCUAUCGAGUUUUCAGAGUUAGGUAUUUUUAAAAUGUCUAAACCUGAAAAAGAAUUGCAUUUUUGGAGAAUUGAACAAGUUAAAGAGAAAUAUGUUGUAAUGCCUAUUAGUAAUGGUACUUUUCUCUGUGUUCCACUUAUCCAGUUUUUUCAUUAGAUACGUUGUAAAAUUUUCUGCCACGGAUGCAACCAAAAUGGAGACUGUAGCCGUAGCUCCAUCUUUAUGGAUCAAUUAUGAUCUUAAUACAUGUAAAUGGCCACCAAAAAAGUAUGAUUCUAAUAAAGUUACUAGAUGAAUCAUAAGAGUUUAAUGGAACCAAAGGAUGAUUUUGAAGAUAUUUCAGUACAAGUUAUGUAUGAAUAUGACAUAUGCCAAAGCACGCAAAGCAAAUAUAAAAGCUGAACACGACAGUGCUAUCGAUACAGCUGCUGGAGAAAGUGAUAUAGAUAAGCCUAGGAAAAAACAGAAAUCUGCAAGAUAUGAAGUGACAGAUAGCUCAGAGCUUGAUAAACCACUUGCCAUCAAAAGUUGAUAGCAAGCUCUGCUCGAAAUCUGCUCGCGCAGGUUUGGCUACCUGGGAAUAUCAAAUAUAGAAAUCCAGAUUAAAAAAGCAUGAAAUUGCUUCCCUUCGCAACUGUACUACAUCAUAUAAUAUAUCACAGUCUUCACUUUCUAUGGACCAACAUUCUGAUUUUGAAACUUCUUUACCAUUUAUAAUGAAAAAUGUCUGUAUGCAAUCAGAUCCACACGUGGCUGCUGUUCUUAAAACUUUAGUAUCCAGGCAAGAAGAUUUAAAUAGUAAAAUAGAUCACGUUAUUUUGAUGAUUUACAAAGUAUAUCGUAAAUUAGCACCAGAAGAGGAAAAAGUGAGUCAUCCGAAAAAUCCCCCUGUACUUUCUUUAAAUAAGAUUCCUUUUUACAAAUUCAAAAAUUUCUAAUGUCUGAAGAUAACUUUUACCCAACAGUAAAUAUUUCUAUCACUCCUUCAAUUAUAUCAUAUAUUUUCCUGUGUAGCAUAAUUUAAAUUGCUAUUGCCUUGUUAUUAAAUAUGAUAUAAAGAGAUUUAAUCAGAUACAUAUGCCAACGUACAUCGAAUCGUUUUAUUCUAUAUUAAGACCAAAUUACACUAAUCUAAAUAUAAGGUAACAGUUAAAACUGUAAACAAUAUAAUAUCCAAAAUCAGGACAUAAGAUUUUUUAACAUCAUAUGUCCUCGCUUUGGACAUUAUACUGUGUAGGAUCAGAUAUUUAUUUUUGUUUUUUCCUCAAAAUAAAGUAAGAUAGACAUGUUUCAA